rnacentral:lncRNA from 1 species
UUAAAUGAUGCUCUGAAUAUGAGAAGGCACUGAUCAUCACAAACAUUCAGAGACAAAGAGAGGGACAAGACUGGCAGACACUCAAUGGUGAGCAAGAACAGGGAAAAGGAAAGACCUCCCAAAGGCCAGAGGAGUGAAAGAAAGUCUGAAGGCACAGGAGCCCGAGCCCGACAAUGAGAAGGAAUGGAAUGCCUGAGAUCAGUGGGAAGCGCUUAGAUGAUAAGAAACACGGAAGUAAAUGGUCUAAUUUAUGGUCUAAAAAAAACCCUCUGGAUAUCUUUGGGAAAGUGAAUAUGAGAAGCUGAGCAGGCAAGCUGCAAACAGAUGAACAGACCUCUAGGUAGUCACUUGUGGUGAUGCGACACCAGAGAAAAGGAACAGGAGGCAGAAGACAGGAACCAUUCACUGGCAAGUUGUGAUAUGGGGUUUCUCCCAGGCUACGACUCUAGUGAGAUUAAAAGAUAGAAAAGAGCAUUCCCAUUCAAAAGCAUUUAAGAUACGGGCCUUUAAUGAAGUACUAUGAAAAACUGCAAGGGGGUACCUGCAAAUAUUGGGAAGACAAAGCGAAAGGACCCACCCCUGUCCCCCAUGAGGAGGAGAGAGAAACCUCCAUGGAGUAGAGGCCACUCUGACGCGUAAGUGGAUAAAUCACGCACCGGAAGCACAAACCUAAGAGGAUAGAGGCUGUGGAGGAAUCAGGUCUUUUGGGUAAUAAACGUCAAGUUUAUCAAGUCGUGAUGUCCAGGCUGUGAGCUAACUGGUUUCGAAUACAGUGCAAAAAAAAAAAAAGACCCUAGGCCAUUCGAUACUCAUUUUCCAGGAGAGGAAGUAGGCUCUAGAAGUCAGGACCUUUGCUAAAGUCACGCUUGUAUGUAAGGUAACCCCAGG